UGGGCAGGUGGUGAAGCUUGGUGCCUGGAAGCGAGUAGGGUGCUGAGAGUGGUUCUGCUGUGGUUCUGGGUCUUCCUGGGAUGAUUGGCUGGUUGGCGCCCACUCUCAACUGCCAAAAACACAGAGGAGUUCUGCCCUGUGAGACGGAAAAACA